CAUACCAUUUGCAAAAGUAGAGAACACAGGGUAUUCAAUAUGGGGUAUGUCCAGUCUUUUUUAAUAACCACUUAUUCACAAACCCUGGCCAAAGUUAGCGUUCAUAUUUGUUUUUGUGUGAAAAAUGCCAAAAAACAAAUAUGAACGCUAAAUUCUGUCAGUGUUUCUGACUAAGUGGCUACUAAAAAAGACUGGACAUACCCCACUUGCAAUACCUUGGGUUGUCUACUCUUGCAAAUGGAAUG